rnacentral:rRNA from 1 species
AUUGAACGCUGGCGGCAGGCCUAACACAUGCAAGUCGAGCGGAUGAAGGGAGCUUGCUCCUGGAUUCGGCGGCGGACGGGUGAGUAAUGCCUAGGAAUCUGCCUGGUAGUGGGUGAUAACGUCCGGAAACGGGCGCUAAUACCGCAUACGUCCUGAGGGAGAAAGUGGGGGAUCUUCGGACCUCACGCUAUCAGAUGAGCCUAGGUCGGAUUAGCUAGUUGGUGGGGUAAAGGCCUACCAAGGCGACGAUCCGUAACUGGUCUGAGAGGAUGAUCAGUCACACUGGAACUGAGACACGGUCCAGACUCCUACGGGAGGCAGCAGUGGGGAAUAUUGGACAAUGGGCGAAAGCCUGAUCCAGCCAUGCCGCGUGUGUGAAGAAGGUCUUCGGAUUGUAAAGCACUUUAAGUUGGGAGGAAGGGCAGUAAGUUAGUACCUUGCUGUUUUGACGUUACCAACAGAAUAAGCACCGGCUAACUUCGUG